rnacentral:rRNA from 1 species
UGCAGUCGAACGAUGAAGCCCUUCGGGGUGGAUUAGUGGCGAACGGGUGAGUAACACGUGGGCAAUCUGCCCUUCACUCUGGGACAAGCCCUGGAAACGGGGUCUAAUACCGGAUAACACUCCUGCCUGCAUGGGUGGGGGUUAAAAGCUCCGGCGGUGAAGGAUGAGCCCGCGGCCUAUCAGCUUGUUGGUGAGGUAGUGGCUCACCAAGGCGACGACGGGUAGCCGGCCUGAGAGGGCGACCGGCCACACUGGGACUGAGACACGGCCCAGACUCCUACGGGAGGCAGCAGUGGGGAAUAUUGCACAAUGGGCGAAAGCCUGAUGCAGCGACGCCGCGUGAGGGAUGACGGCCUUCGGGUUGUAAACCUCUUUCAGCAGGGAAGAAGCGAAAGUGACGGUACCUGCAGAAGAAGCGCCGGCUAACUACGUGCCAGCAGCCGCGGUAAUACGUAGGGCGCAAGCGUUGUCCGGAAUUAUUGGGCGUAAAGAGCUCGUAGGCGGCUUGUCACGUCGGUUGUGAAAGCCCGGGGCUUAACCCCGGGUCUGCAGUCGAUACGGGCAGGCUAGAGUGUGGUAGGGGAGAUCGGAAUUCCUGGUGUA